rnacentral:lncRNA from 1 species
UAGGGAUGAUGGAUCUGGAAACUGUGACAAUCAGGAAGCUAAAAAAGUCCAACACUAGCAUCACAUUUCCAGAUUUUAUUAAAAUGUAAGCUGUGGCCGUUAAGUGGAGUGACAAUGCAUUUCAAGACUGAGCUUCUUGGUAAACAGCGACCUCCAUAGAUUCAGGCCGCAGGGCUGCCUACACACAGUGGAUGGACACCCUCAUUUGCUCACUCACUUGUUCCUUCAAAUUUCUGUUCUACAAAGACACACUUGUGGACAUUUGCAGAAGCAGAAGGAUGGAGUGCAGGUUUCCAAACUGCUCUGCUGAGAGCCCGAGUGGCUGGGGCAUUUCACUCAACAUGGAUUGAGCCAUUGUUGUGGGCCAGGCACCACCUGGGCACUGAGCUGCAGCAGUGAGCAGCACACGGUCCUGUUCCUGUGUGGGAUUUAACUUCUCCUGGGAGAGAGGACACCAGACAAAAUAAGUUUUCGGCCAAAACGAGGCUCACAAGUGAAUUCAGUGCAGGCCUCCUGAAAGUCCCUGCUUUUGGAAUGGCUGGCUCCUUAUCAUUCAGGCAAGUCUCAGCUCAAUUGUCACCUCCCAAGGAUGGCCUUUCCCAGUCCGUCCUAGCCCCUGCACUUGUCUUCUUUGCUUCCCAUCCCUGUGACCAUCCUCUGCAAUGAUCAUGCUUAUUUGAUUGCUGGCUCAUUGUCAGUGACUUCUGCCAGAAAGCAAGCUCCAUAAAGACCAGGACUGCAGCCCCAGUGCCCGGCACAGUAGAGAGGAAACUGAUACCUACUUGUCAAAUGAAUGAGUAACAUGGACCAUCCAGUGUAAAGGAGUUUGGCGCCACAGCAGGUCUCACGCGGUUUCGCUCAAACCCAGUGUUUCACUGUCACCUCUAAGCCCCUUGAUCUGCCAUGUAGAGAGCUGGCCCGGGCCAACUCUCUUUGCCCGUGAGGUCUACUCUAAUAAAAUAAAAAUGAACACAGCAUAGCUUCCAUUACUACCACUAAGAAAAAUGCUUCCUCUUCCCUAUUAAUCAGCAAAAUGGAGUUGAAAAGUAUUCUUUCCUGAAGGUUUAGAGUUCAAAUAGAAAUGAUUGUAAGGAAAUCAGGACAGCCUUUCUCAAGAAUGGGAAUACUUCAGAGAUAGCACAUUUGAACUGUGCAAGAAGGACACGGAGUAACAGCCUUCUCUUCCUCAUUCCCUUUCUCCAAAGGCUGCGAACUCUCCAUAGACAGAUGUCUCCGAGUUCCCUUUUCAAAGCAGCAUGGGGCCUUCAGCUGUGGCCCUGCAGUGCCACCAUCCGGAUGCCUGAAGAAUUGCUCCAUGUCUGCCUGCACUCCACAAACACUCCAAAAGCAGGGGAAAAUGAAUUAUUGCUAAUCUCCGGCGGUCAUGAACACAAUUCCACGAGGGCCUCUCAGACCCAUGACGCUCCUGUCUUGGCACUUGACCAAAAGGGUAAAACCAAGAA